UGCCCCAUGCUUCUGUUUCCAGGAGCGUCACAUGGUCAUGCACCGUCGAACCCACACCGGAGAGAAACCGUACGCCUGCAGCCAGUGUGAGAAGACCUUCAGACAGAAGCAGUUGCUGGACAUGCACUUCAGACGCUACCACGACCCCAACUUCGUCCCCACCGCCUUUGUCUGCCCCAAGUGCAGCAAGACCUUCACUCGCAGGAACACCAUGGCUCGCCACUCUGAAAACUGCAACGGUGAGGUGGAUGAUGCCGAGAAUGGAUCUCCAACCCCGAAGAAAGGGAGGAGAGGAAGGAAGAGGAAGAUGAGGACCAGGAGAGAUGAGGAUGACAGCGAGGAGGAUCAUGGAGAACUGGAUGAGGAGGACGAGGGUGAGGGUGAGGAAGAAGAACUGCUACAAGAAGAGGAGCAGCUAGAGGACAUGGAACUGGACCAGGCCCCUGCUGCCAUCCCAGUCCCGGCUCCUGACGAGCCACCAGUCAAGAGAAAACGAGGCCGACCCCCAAAGAACACCCCCAAGCCCCCAACACCCAGCAAGUCUGCCCAGGUGGCUGCCAAGGCUGCCGCUUCUGCUGCUGCCAUCAUUCAGGUGGAGGACGAGAGCACCGGAGCGGUGGAGAACAUCAUCGUGAAGAAGGAAGAGGGCGACGGCUCUGCAGCCCCCCUGGAGCAGGAGGGAGCCCUGACGGUGGAGGGGCUGGACGGGGGGGGGUUGGAGACUGUGGAGCUGGCUGUGAACGAGGAGACAGCGGUCGCCGCCAACGGAGACCUAACGCCAGAGAUGAUCCUCAGCAUGAUGGACCGGUGAACCCCCACGCCGGACCAUGAGUGAAACUGGCAAACACAUAAACAUUUCCACCCCCCCGGCCUCCCCCUUAUAUAGCACCUACGGCAGAUCCUAAUGGUGGCCAUUAAAGUGGCUGCUAAACCAACCAUGCAAAAGAAGGGAAGCCGCACGUAAAUACGCACUAAAAUAACUUCACAUCCAUGUACACGACACACUGAUGUCUGUGGGUCUCAGUUACACACACAGCAAAGCUCACACAGAUGUCCUCCCAGGCUGCUCUGCUCUUAUUUCAGUUUGAAUGUCUUCUGAAUGAAUCAUCGUGUAUUUAAUACUUUGUUCUACCCAAAGCCACUUCCUGUCAGUCUCUAACCAAACUCUGCAGCUACUGCUCAGCUCUGAGAAUGAUUUGAUCACAUUUCACUUUGAUUUCCUGCUUGCUGUUCUUACAACUAUGCUGAUAUAGCAAAUUUGCAGCAUUUAUAUUUGUAUAUAUAGAUUUAAAUGUAGUUUUUCCUAAUGAAAUGUAGUAUAUGGUACUUGGGUUGAGAAACACCUUGCUUUCAGUCAUAUGGGCUGUAUAUUUUUGGCUUGUUUAACACUUUGUCCAUGUUUUGGUAUUUCAAUAUUGAGGCUUUUAUAGAAUGAAGUUACGGGGAUUUUUCUUCAUUCAUGAGCAAACGUGCAGAUCCAUAUAAAUGAACAGAAGUCAGUGAUAUAGAAUGAUUCAACUUUCUACUUCAUCUUUUUGACAUUCACACUGUCAAAGUUGAUUCACUUUCCCCAUCAACAACAUCAUUCUUUUUCAACAGUUUUUAUUUUGGCUGACCUCGAUGCUCGAAGGAAUUGUUAAUGUUCGUCCUCCUCGUGUUCCGAGCUUUGACAGAGGCUGUCCUCCACCAGAUGAGCCCCUCUAACCAGCCAAACUGGAUGGAACUCAUCUGAACCACUAUCAGUUUCUGAGUGUUUUCUGUUGUUCAAAGAUGUGUUCAGAUACAAAACAGUUUUUACUUUGACAUUUUUCAUUUCUGAUCAUUUUGUAGUUGCUUAAUGCUGAUACUGAGAUAUGUCCUCUCCAUGUCCCUGAUUUAUGCAAAACAAAGGUUUCAAAUCAUCUGAAUCAAGGUUAGAACAAAGAGAUCACCGUAUGAUUUGAGUCGUCUGAAGAUGUAAAUCCAGAGGUAUUUCUUCUCAGUGUGACCACAGGCUCUGAUGGUUGAAUGUGGCCUUCCUUUUAUAAUAUGUUAUAGUUACAUAGAACCAUUGGUUAGAUCAGCCCAGCACUGUAAAUAACCAUUGCAACAGAAAGAUAGUAAACAUUUUGUAAGAAUCUUUAAACAAACAACAAUUGUGUGACUGUGGUCUGAGAUACAUGUCAUUCUGUAAAAGGAGAAUAAAAUGUCCUGUCGUCAUCGUUAUCAUCGUUAUCAUUAUGUUCUGCAGGCGGACGGACGGGAGAUGGAUGUUAAGACUGUUUGCAUAGCAACAACAGCAUUGUUUUUUUGUUUGCACACUGCUUAUUUGUUUCGGCAGAAUAAGUUAAAGAGAAAAGUUUUAAAGAUGUUUAACACAUCCCUGUUUUCAGACUGAGAGAACAGGAGAAACCUUAGUCAUGUCAUUAUGGAAGAUGAGACACUGUACAGCUGAUAAAGAAUUAAAUCAGCCCAUGUGCCCAUGUC